CUAGUGCUCUUAUAGAUCCUGCUUCUGAAGCAUCAUUUGUCUCAGAAAGAUUACAUCAGCGUCUUGGUAUAGCCACAAUUUCUAUUCAAGCUACAAUUUCAGGAGUAAAUCAAGCAAUUUCAACAAUAUCGUGAAAAUGAUGUUCUUUAUGUGUAGGAUUUCCUAUAGACAGUACUCUCUUCAUGAACAUGACAGCUUUAGUAGUUCCAACAAUGUCUGGCAAUCUUCCUUCGUUUUCUAUCGGCAGGGAAAUUGCUUCUAAUAUGCCAAAUCUAUAUUUGGCUGAUAGAAACAUCUAAUGGGAAAAUCCUCAAUGAUAUUGUCAGGGGGAAGAGCAAUGAAUAGAGACGCAAUGUUGUUGAGUAUAGAAAUAGAUAGAUAGAAAAACUAAAUCUAGCCUUAACAUCUACCAUAAAAAUACACAUGAACUUAUUUACUAAUGUAUGUUGUGUCUAAAUACAUAAUGCACUCCACGCACACAAAAAGUUGCGGGAGAAAACGAAAUGUACCUACUUUGUGAUCGAACCUUUCUUAUCUUCUAUUUAUGGCCGUGACAUUUAUUACAUUAUUUAUUACCAACCAUAAACCUAGUGUUUAAGUUGGCCUUCAACUUCCCGAGUCCAGUCAAUCACGGAUGCUGAUUGACACAACGGGCAUCUCCUCGGCAAAGCGCAGAUGCCACCGAGCGGUGGUUGUUGUUGGUUAGCUCACUUUGAUACAUACGAGACUCUGCUCUCAUUGGAAAUAAUUGUAAAUGUAGUAGUAGUUAUCGACAAUGAUCCUCGGCGAUCACUGCGAUCCUCUGCGAUUGCAAGAACCUCUGCGUUCACUUGUAGUUUAGUUGCUGAAGCGUACGCUUGUCGCGCCUAACCCUCGUUCGCGGUUAUACUAACCAGGCCUCUGACCAAAUUACUGAAGUUUCUUCCUUUCACCGCAUUCACCACACACGCGAAUCACCCGCACCUCUCACAAUCACAUAAUAACUCGGGGGAGUUCUCGUUGUUGUUGCCGGUGUCUGCCAUUCCUCCACUUCCCUGAGUUAAACACCUAGCAUAUGGAAAACACAUGCAACUUAAUCUGUUCCACGAUAUCGAAAGAACCAUUUCGUAUUGCUUUUACACGGCAAACAGAUGAUUUCCCUUCCACUAAAAUCAAUCAGAACGAAAAAUUUUACGAAAAUCAAAGCGAACGAAAACGUAAGCAUACAAUGCCAUUUUUUGGAAGCAGCAGGUAAUCCCUUGAAGACCACUGGAAGAAUUGUGUGUAGAGAUGGGGUCUCUACACACAAACUGCAAAAAAUCAGACACUGUCAGCACAAACACAGAUCCAACAACAACACCAACGUAAUAAACCAAUAUCCCAACACAUGGAACAUCAAACCAUCAUCAUAAAUAGUAAU